UGGCGGUUCGUCUAAUGGUAGGACAGCGGACUCUGAAUCCGUAUGUAGAGGUUCGAAUCCUUUACCGCCAGCCA
rnacentral:tRNA from 1 species